UCCUGGCCGUAAACGAUGCGGGCUAGGUGUCACAGUGGCUACGAGCCACUGUGGUGCCGUAGAGAAAUCGUGAAGCCUGCCGCUUGGGAAGUACGGCCGCAAGGCUGAAACUUGAAGGAAUUGGCGGGGGAGCACUACAACGGGUGGAGCCUGCGGUUUAAUUGGAUUCAACGCCGGGAAGCUUACCGGGUGCGACAGCUGGAUGAAGGCCAGGCUAAAGACCUUGCUGGACUAGCUGAGAGGAGGUGCAUGGCCGUCGUCAGUUCGUACUGUGAAGCGUCCUGUUAAGUCAGGCAACGAACGAGACCCACGCCCAUUGUUGCCAGCGCGCCCUCAGGGGUGCGGGUACACGGUGGGGACCGCUGGUGCUAA
rnacentral:rRNA from 1 species